rnacentral:lncRNA from 1 species
CGCGCUCGAGCUGCUCUCCGGCAGGGACACCCGGGAGGAGGAUUUUUGCCUGGCGAAUGCUGCCAAAGAUGUGGGUAUUGGACCUAAAUGGCGAAGCAGGGUACGGCGAGGCUGUGAAUUGUGCGGUCCUUGCAGGGUUAUCUGCCCUUCCCAGUUAUUAAAGAGCUGGGUGCUGAUCCCCUUCCAUGCCUUUGCUUACCAGCCUAUUGACCUUGUUAGGCAAAGCAAAUCAAGGUGAAAAAGAGGAUAUGAUGUUGUAUCACUCUUUGCCUGCUCCCUUCCACUAGCCAACCCAGUUACAGCUGCAUUUUCUCUCCAGUGCCUCCUGCAAUGCAGUGGUCUUCCUUGGUACAACAUUAUGAGCUUAAAACUUGUAAGUCAGAGGAAUUUUCGCCAUAACUGCUUAUAACCUUAUCAAACCUGACUGCCUGGAUCUGAUAGAGUCCUGACCUUGCCUUGGGUCGUGUCCUCCGAAGCUCUUCCUUUCCUCUUCCCUUCUUUGCUUAAACCAAGCAGAUUGGUCUCUGCCUUCCUGUCCAUAAGAGGUAGUCCCAUAGAGUGGGAGAAUUUAAAGGUGGCUGCAUUACUGUGAAGUUUUUCUCCCC